CAUUAAGGGACUUCCAGCAGUGCCUGUGAAAUACCACACGUGGCUUAUUAACAUACAAAUUAAAAGAGCAAUCACCAGAGAGGAAUUUAUUCUUCUUUGAGUGCGGAGCAUACAGCUCAAGAGAUUGAAACUGAAUUGAAUUGAAUUGAAUAUAAAAUAAUAGAAUAGAGUUUUAACAUUGUGAUAAUAUCUAUCUCUCGAGACUUUGAUUACAAUUUAACAAACAACUUAAACGCAUUGUAUAUAAAUUAUCGUAUAUUAUUAUUUUAUGCAUGUAGAGUUGAGUCUGGAGUCUAGAGUCAUGAUCGCUCAACAUUCAACAGACAAUAUAUGCACAAAUUUAUUUAUCAUGGAUCAUGACAGCAUCAGAAGAGUACAACGAAGAGAAGAACACAGCAACUUUAAAUAAAACAAAGUAUAAAUAAUCAUAUAACCCUGAUAAUGACAAAUUUCUCAGACAAGUGGAGCAGAAACAAGUUGACCAUGAAGUUUUAAUAAUUAUUAAUAAAUAAAGUUUAUUUGAAAUUAAAAAUAAGGAUCUACACUCUACACUCCAACUCGGCUACACGGUAAUAAUUUACAAAAUUAUUUAAAUAUAUAGUUAACCUAAAAAUAACGUUUGAGAUAUUGUAAAAAUUGACUGUAAAAGAGAUUUAAGAUUAAGAUGAUGAUGAUGAAGAACAAGAAGAAGAAUAAGAAGAUGAAGAAGAACAAGGCGUGGUGUGCAAGAUGCUUUGGUCAUUGCCGGCUAGCUGGUUGGUGUUAUUCCUGGCGGCGGUCGGCUAUAUUUAGACGAGACCACCUUGAGAGAGUCCGAGAAAGAGUUGGUUGUGCAACGAGAACGAGAACGACAACGACUACGACAACCAAGACGACUACCAGCGGGUAUAUGACUACCAAGUGCUUAAAACCCACGAUACGAUAAUUAAGUAAAAAGAGAAGACGUUAAGACUUUAUUACACUCCUAUCAUCGCGAUCCUCAUCUUGAUCAUAGCGUUCUCAAGAUCAGUUAUGUGACAUGACACAAUGGCAAAUUAAGUACUUAACAAUGACUUUGUCGGUUACAAGUUGUAAGUUACAUACAAGAGUUACGAGUUUUAUUAAAUUAAUGUUAUGUUAUAACGUCAAGUUUUAUGGAGGUUAUUACAACUGGUGCAUGGUAUAAUUGUCAUGGAAUUUUAUUUAAUAGCGGUAUAGGUUAUAGAUGUGGGUAUUAUGAGAUUAAGAUAAUACGGAUAAGUAUAUGCUGGUAAUAGAUACGUGGAUCAAGUAUUAUAUAUGGGUGUAUUUGUUGGUUAUUGCACUGUUUUCAUGUUUUUAUUUGCUCAGGAAUUAUGAAUAAAAAUAGAAAUAACCUGUAGUUAAGCUGAUUAACGACUGCGCAUGCGCGAAUAUUGUUCCAAAUGUUCGAUAGUCCCAAAUUCACAUAAGAAUCAAUUAAUUGGGAGACAAAAAAUAAAAAUGACGUAGUUCAUUUUUACAAAUAUAACUUAUAGUUAAGCUGAGAAACUACUUUGCAUGCGCAAAGACUGUUCCAAGUGUUCCAGAGUCCCAAAUCCGUAAAAAAAAUCAUUUUACAGGUUUGCUAACAUCUAGCACACUGGUUGUUGGUUGUAGCUGGUGAAGGAGCUAAAAUCUAAAGUAAAUGCAAAGCGUUGGAGUGGUAUAGCGCGCGUGGACAACUCUCAGGGGACUUACGCCAACAUACUUAACGAUAUCCUGGACACACGCGCGUGUCUCGCAAAGUGAGAUAGCACUUGUGACCGGCUAGUUAACUAUUGAGUACCCGGCCGAUA